AUACGUAGGGGGCGAGCGUUGUCCGGAAUUACUGGGCGUAAAGGGUGCGUAGGUGGCACUUUAAGUUGGAUGUGAAAUCCCCGUGCUUAACAUGGGAGCUGCAUCCAAUACUGGAGAGCUAGAGUGCAGGAGAGGUAAGCGGAAUUCCUAGUGUAGCGGUGAAAUGCGUAGAUAUUAGGAGGAACACCAGUGGCGAGGGCGGCUUACUGGACUGUAACUGACACUGAGGCACGAAAGCGUGGGGAGCAAACAGGAUUAGAUACCCUGGUAGUCCACGCCGUAAACUAUGGAUACUAGAUGUCGGGGGUACUUACCCUUUCGGCGUCGUAGCUAACGCGUUAAGUAUCCCGCCUGGGAAUUACGGUCGCAAGAUUAAAACUCAAAGGAAUUGGCGGGG
rnacentral:rRNA from 1 species